rnacentral:rRNA from 1 species
CUCAUAGCGUAUAUUUAAGUUGCUGCAGUUAAAAAGCUCGUAGUCGGAUUUUGGCUGAGAACGGUCGGUCCGCCGUUAGGUGUGCACUGACUGGUCUCAGCUUCCUGGUGAGGAGGUGUGCUUCAUCGCCACUUAGUCACCGUGGUUACUUUGAAAAAAUUAGAGUGUUCAAAGCGGGCUUACGCUUGAAUAUAUUAGCAUGGAAUAACACCAUAGGACUCCUGUCCUAUUUCGUUGGUCUCGGGACGGGAGUAAUGAUUAAGAGGAACAGUUGGGGGCAUUCGUAUUUCAUUGUCAGAGGUGAAAUUCUUGGAUUUAUGAAAGACGAACUUCUGCGAAAGCAUUUGCCAAGGAUGUUUUCAUUGAUCAAGAACGAAAGUUGGGGGCUCGAAGAUGAUUAGAUACCAUCCUAGUCUCAACCAUAAACGAUGCCGACUAGGGAUUGGCGGAUGUUAAUUGAUGACUUCGCCAGCACCUUAUGAGAAAUCAAAGUUUUUGGGUUCCGGGGGGAGUAUGGUCGCAAGGCUGAAACUUAAAGGAAUUGACGGAAGGGCACCACCAGGCGUGGAGCCUGCGGCUUAAUUUGACUCAACACGGGGAAACUUACCAGGUCCAGACAUAGUAAGGAUUGACAGAUUGAGAGCUCUUUCUUGAUUCUAUGGGUGGUGGUGCAUG